rnacentral:rRNA from 1 species
UAGACCUGAGGUCAGGCAAGACCACCCGCUGAACUUAAGCAUAUCAAUAAGCGGAG